rnacentral:lncRNA from 1 species
UCUAACAGAACCUUGCUUCGGAGGUUGCUUACAUAUCCUUGGCUAUGAAGUAAUUAGGUCAGUAUAGUUCUGGAUGUUUUGGUAACUAGGAUUUCACUGAUGUUGCUGUUGUAACUGCUUGCUGACUCCUUACUACACCAAAAUCAAAAUGAAAUACUAAACUAGCUAAACCAACCAGCUACAGGUUACAAGACUCCUAUCUAUAAAUCUCCUGAAGCUUUAUUUUGAGUCUUGGAUGGUUCUUCAUGCAGACUCUGAUUUGAAUCUUGAUACUUGUUAGAUGCAAGUGUAGGUUCAUUCUCCUUUAGCUUUCGGAUCAAGGGAAAACAUGCAAAGCUUGUGACAUCAUUCGUAUCUUGAGUAGUCCACAUCUUUCCUCCGCUUAUGCACUUUGAGUUCACUACUUUUUUAUUUAUUCAUUUUAUUUUCUUUUAGAUUUAAUCUUCUUCUUUUGGUCAUCUCGAACCCUGUGUCUUGAGGUACAACUUUCUCAGACACCAAAAUAAACAAACGAAUGGAAUUUUUCUAUCCCACUUAUCACUAGGAAAAUUUCACGAGUUAUUUGUAACCAAAACCCUAUACUACUUCAAUAUUGAAAGAAAUGAUUGUGUAUCCUUGGGAAAAAGAAAGUAGGGAGUGGAAACCCUAUAUCUAAAAUUAAAUUGACUAGGGAUUGUAUUGCGGUUCUCUCGCGAAAUUGGGUUUAUGACAUUUUGGAUGGGAAAGCUCUUUCCUUUUGGGAAGGUAUUGAAAUUUUGGAGAGUCUCCAUCUAACAAUUUAAAGGUGUGUUAGGCACCUAUGGGGUUCCACUACAACUAUGUUUGGUAACUGGAGAUAGGAUAAGGGCUUGAAAUUACCCCAAAGGGAAUGUGUUUGGCACCCCUCAGGAUCCACUAGUGUGGUUCCCGGCCAGAUAGUUUUUUUUUGUGAAUUUGUGCAAUUAUCAAACAAACAAAUAAGGAUCAAAUAGUAGGGGAUUUUAUAUUUAAAUAUACAAGUGUUUGAAAAAACAAUAAAGGCUAGGUUUUGAAAAGAGUUAUAAUCUAAACAUGUUAGUGAAUGUAAAAAGGGUCCUAGGUUUGUUUGUAAUAUGGAUCACAUCAAUGCAAUACCGGUAUGACACUCUUCAGAAGAGGGGAUACACGUGGUAUUAGUGCACCAGUCAUCAUAUCCAUAUCGGCCCUUCCCACCCGUAAAGGUAGUAAAGCGAGGAUUAGUCUCAACCUCUAUUGCAUGCUGUUUAUUAUCCCAUUUCUAUCACUCUUAGAGGAAUUUAGGACUACUAUUGCUAUAAGAGGGAGGUUUUAGGCUGACUCUUAGGUUUAAAGGUAAAAUGCUAAGGAGACGUAUAAAAACAAGUAGGACUGUAUUUAGAAGGGAAACAUGUAAGCAAUUCGAAAGCUCAUGUAUACCGCCGCAAAUAAUGCAUAUAAACAGCAUGACUUAAACACAGUUAAGGUCUGAAUUUUAAAAAUCCUAAAGCAAGGUGUUUGAGUCAGAACAAGAUUCAUUAUAUAACUUAGAAAAAAAGUCCGGAUCAGGCCUAUCUACUGGUUGUACCAGUUGAUAAUUUCAAUAAAGGCAGUUCAAGUUUCAUUAAUUACCAAAGGCUUUGCCUAGGCGUGAGCGAGAUUCAGUAGUUAUUCAGGAUUAUUAAGACAGUUGGAGAUUAUUAUUAUUACUAAACAUGCGUCUCUAGGUGUUCCGCACAUUGAGUUAUUGCUAGUUAAUCGUAAGGACUGAAAUACAUCGUUUUAUUCCUUUUAAGCGUUCAUAAUUAGCCUAAGUGUGCUUAAGAGAAUACAAAUGAAAUCCUAAAGACAUGUUAACUAAUAUGCAGAGAUGCAGAAGAAUGUAUAUGCAGAAUCCUAAAAAGGAUUUCUAUAUGCACAAAUAUUACAACAUUUAGAACAUGAUUACUAGAAUAUGCAGAGAUUAUAUGUUUGUUAAUGUUGUUAGCCUAAAUAGGAUCUCUAAGUCUGCAUGGUGGUAGGAACAUGAUUGCAGAAACACUGAUUAUUAACAUACUUAACAAAGAAUUAUCUAAGCGAUUUGAUAGUGACAUGAACAUGCUGAAAAUAGUAAGUGUAAAUUCUAAGGAACAUGAUCUCUAAUGCAUGAAAUGAAUCUUAAGCAUGGUUUCUAUUGUGCAAGUAGUAAUAUAAACCUAAUAACAUGCUUUCUACCCGUUUUGAUAGCAUGCAUAUUUCCCAGCCCUUGUCACUAGCCAAUCUCAUACUUGUUUACAAAUUAUUAUAGACCAAAUGAUUGAAGUACGAAAGAAGUGCAAAAAUAAGAAGUUAUAACCAUAGGAAGCAUGAUCCUGAAUUCCUCUAUGAGUUUGUAAUUAAUCACUUCAAUGCCAAUAUUAUUCCAAAGCCUUCUCAUAUCUGGGUGUGUCUGAAUUCCCGAAGGACCUCAAGGUGUCCUGGAUAGUGCUUACACCCAGAUUUGCAUAACCAAACAGAAUGAGUGUAGUGUGGAAGGGCCAACUUUUAUGUGUCCAAGUUCAAAGAGAGCUCAAGGGUCCCAAGGCAAGGCUCAUACAAAAGGGGCAGAAUCUAGAUUCUAAGAAUAAGUGAGAGUGCUUGACAUAGUUUGAAAAAAAAAGUUUGUUUAAAAAUUGGGUUGAAAGUAAUAAGUAAUAGAGGUGAUUUGAAAGCAGUUGUAGUAGUAAACAAAACUCAAACUCCCAAGAUGGGAUCGCACACAAAAUCAAUAGUCAUACAAGGGGUUCAAGGGAUUUGGGACACACGAACAUUUGACUGUAAGCACAUAACCUUAUCAAGGGUCUUUAGGACUAGUUGGAUAUGCACAAUAAUAGCUGAUACUAGCAUGAUCACAUGAUAGUCAGAAAACGUAAGCAUAUUGAAGCGAUAGGGGUCUGGGGGUGGAAAAUACAUAAUAAGUGACUGAUAGAGUAUGUAUUGAAACACACAUAGGGGAAUGAAUUAAUCUAGAGGGGAAGGGGAAUAUCAUGGCAUGCCGGUAAUGCAUCUUAACAGAACCAAAAGCCGAAGUAAAAUAAAAAUGAAAGAAGCUGAAACAAAUAAGGAAGCAUAUUGUUGUUUGGGCUCAAAAGAUAAACUAGGAUAUACUAGUCAAAGAAGCAAAGUGUAGAAAGGAAAAGUAAGCAGGACUCCACACUCUAGUCUUGACUUUCAGCUUACUAGACAAAGCAGUAUCACGAGUAGUAGUAGAGAAAGGGAAAGUUUUGAGUGUGAAAGUGUGUGUUCUCAAUUGAUUUAUUUGUGUCUUUUAAAGAAGAGAGUUUAGGAUAUUUAUAACUUUAAAAAUGGGUAGAAAAUAAGGUAACAAGUAAAAGUAUAACACAAUUAUGGAAAUAAUCACAAUCAGAAUCCAUUAACAUAAU